rnacentral:rRNA from 1 species
UGGCGAACGGGUGAGUAACACGUGGGUAAUCUGCCCUGCACUCUGGGAUAAGCCUGGGAAACUGGGUCUAAUACUGGAUAUGACCUUUCUCCUUAUGGGGUUUGGUGGAAAGUUUUUCGGUGUAGGAUGAGCCCGCGGCCUAUCAGCUUGUUGGCGGGGUGAUGGCCUACCAAGGCGACGACGGGUAGCCGGCCUGAGAGGGUGAUCGGCCACAUUGGGACUGAGAUACGGCCCAG